rnacentral:rRNA from 1 species
AGUGAACGCUGGCGGCAGGCCUAACACAUGCCAGUCGAACGGCAGCACAGUAAGAGCUUGCUCUUAUGGGGGGCGAGUGGCGGACGGGAGAGGAAUACAUCGGAAUCUACUUUUUCGUGGGGGAUAACGUAGGGAAACUUACGCUAAUAUCGCAUAUGACCUACGGGUGAGAGCAGUGGAUCUUCGGACCUUGCGCGAUUGAAUGAGCCGAUGUCGGAUUAGCUAGUUGGGGGGGUAAAGGCCCACCAAGGCGACGAUACGUAGCUGGUCUGAGAGAAGGGUCGGCCGCACGGGAGCGGAGACGCGGUCCAGAGUCCUGCGGGAGGCCCCAGAGGGGAAUGGGAGACAGUGGGGGGAAGCCUGGUCCAGCCAUACCACGUGGGUGACAGAGGCCUUCGGGUUGUGAAGCCGUUUUGUGGGGAGAAAAAAGCUGCAGGUUAAUACCACGCGGUUGUGACGGUACCCAAUAAAUAAGCACCGGCUAACUACGUG